rnacentral:lncRNA from 1 species
UUUGACUUGUGAUCUACCUUUCCCAUGCAUUUCUCCUUAUUUUUCAUGGUUAAAUUACAUGUUUUCAUGAUGAAUUCAUGGCUAGUCAAAAUGGGUAUGGAGAGAGAAAGAUGUUGAAUUGAUUUGAUUUUAAGAUAUGUUAGUGUUUUUAGUUAGUUUAGCAUAUUUAGAAGCAAAACAACAAGAAAAGAAUCCAUUUUUCCCAUGAAUCUUCAUUGGCCGAAUCUUCCUUGAUGUGUGUGGGUGAUGGAUUGUUAUUAUUUCAAGAGAAAUGGCUUAGAAAAUGAUGAACAAUGGUGAG